rnacentral:rRNA from 1 species
GAUGAACGCUGGCGGCGUGCCUAAUACAUGCAAGUCGAGCGAACGGACGAGAAGCUUGCUUCUCUGAUGUUAGCGGCGGACGGGUGAGUAACACGUGGAUAACCUACCUAUAAGACUGGGAUAACUUCGGGAAACCGGAGCUAAUACCGGAUAAUAUUUUGAACCGCAUGGUUCAAAAGUGAAAGACGGUCUUGCUGUCACUUAUAGAUGGAUCCGCGCUGCAUUAGCUAGUUGGUAAGGUAACGGCUUACCAAGGCAACGAUGCAUAGCCGACCUGAGAGGGUGAUCGGCCACACUGGAACUGAGACACGGUCCAGACUCCUACGGGAGGCAGCAGUAGGGAAUCUUCCGCAAUGGGCGAAAGCCUGACGGAGCAACGCCGCGUGAGUGAUGAAGGUCUUCGGAUCGUAAAACUCUGUUAUUAGGGAAGAACAUAUGUGUAAGUAACUGUGCCCAUCUUGACGGUACCUAAUCAGAAAGCCACGGCUAACUACGUG